rnacentral:rRNA from 1 species
AUUGAACGCUGGCGGCAGGCCUAACACAUGCAAGUCGAACGAGUGGCGGACGGGUGAGUAAUGUCUGGGAAACUGCCUGAUGGAGGGGGAUAACUACUGGAAACGGUAGCUAAUACCGCAUACCAUCGGAUGUGCCCAGAUGGGAUUAGCUAGUAGGUGGGGUAAAGGCUCACCUAGGCGACGAUCCCUAGCUGGUCUGCGAGGCUGACCAGACAAACGGGAACGGGGACACGGUACAGAAGCCUAGGGGAGGCAGCAGGGGGGAAUAUGGAACAAUGGGCGAAAGCCUGAUGCAGCCAUGCCGAGUGUAUGAAGAAGGCCUUAGGGUUGUAAAGUACUUUCAGCGGGGAGGCGUUACCCGCAGAAGAAGCACCGGCUAACUCCGUGCCAGCAGCCGCGGUAAUU